AACGAACGCUGGCGGCAUGCCUAACACAUGCAAGUCGAACGAGACCUUCGGGUCUAGUGGCGCACGGGUGCGUAACGCGUGGGAACCUGCCCUUAGGUUCGGAAUAACUCCCCGAAAGGGGUGCUAAUACCGGAUAAUGUCUUCGGACCAAAGAUUUAUCGCCUUUGGAUGGGCCCGCGUUGGAUUAGCUAGUUGGUAGGGUAAAAGCCUACCAAGGCGACGAUCCAUAGCUGGUCUGAGAGGAUGAUCAGCCACACUGGGACUGAGACACGGCCCAGACUCCUACGGGAGGCAGCAGUGGGGAAUAUUGGACAAUGGGCGAAAGCCCGAUCCAGCAAUGCCGCGUGAGUGAUGAAGGCCUUAGGGUUGUAAAGCUCUUUUACCCGGGAUGAUAAUGACAGUACCGGGAGAAUAAGCGCCGGCUAACUCCGUG
rnacentral:rRNA from 1 species